rnacentral:lncRNA from 1 species
GUUUGCAGAUGGCAUUUGCUCUCGUCUCUUUACCCGCCUGCCUGGAUGCCUGUCUUUUUGUAAUGCUGGGAGAUUGAACCCAGAGUCUCCAACAAGCCAUAGAAGAGUUCUCCCACUGAGUCACACCCACAACACCUCAUUGGACAGCAUCACUAGACAGAUGCUCUAUUUUUGAGCAGUACCCCCAGCCCCUCACUGGGGGAUUCUAGGCAGGUGCUUAUUGCUGAGCUGCAAUCCCUAUUUCUUCUCUGGUGGAUACUAAGCAAGCUUCCUACCCUACUGCUGAGCCACCGCCUCCGUUGCCUCCUCUUCCUUCUCCCCCUUUCGUCCUCUUCGGUCUUUAGAGACAGGCUUUCUCUGUGUCACCCAGGCUGUUCUGGAACUCACUCUGUAGAUCAGGCUGACCUCGAACUUACAGAGAACCGCUUGUCUCUGCCUCUUGAGUGCUGGGAUUAAAGGCACCAUUACCCAGUUAGCUUGUAGUUUUCUUGCUUAUGCAUCUGAUGUUGCUGGCAUUAUGGACAUUUGCCCUAACAUCAUGCCAUUAAUUUCUUUUGUGAUCUUGGGCAAGAGAACUCUAUUGACAUGACCAUCUGGACAGGUACCUACUUCUCCCACUGGAGGGUUUUAUGGUGUUAAUAGUUUUGUGUUUUUUCCUGUCCAGGUGCUAGUGUAUGAAUUAUUGCUGGGGAAGGGGUUUCGAGGGGGUGGAGGCCGAUGGAAGGCUCUGCUGGGCCGGCACCAGGCAAGGCUCAAGGCUGAGCUGGCCCGACUCAAGGUUCAUCGGGGUGUGAGCCGAAAUGAGGACCUGUUGCAAGAGAGCUCCAGACCUGGCCAAGGUGACUUGGAGGCUGAGGGGCGGGAGGGGAGUGACCCUCAGAAGGCUCACCUCCCUCCCCACUUGACCACUGUGACUUCUAGCCUACCAGGUACCACGGUUCGUGCGUGUGAACACGCUCAAGACCCGCCCUGAGGAUGCAAUCGAUUAUUUCAAGAGACAAGGUUUCUCCUACCAGGGUCGGGCUUCCAGGUAAGAGCUGAACAUCGUGCCCGGGUGCCUUCAUUUUCCUCUGUGUCCAGGUUCUCAAGGAAGUAGGAGUCUGUUAGAGGGGAGACUAGGUGUGUGUAUGUGGGAUAAUCACUGCUUUCUCUGGAUGUUUUUCCUACUUUCCCAACAGAAUUUUCUUUGUUUUUAAGAAAGAUGUUGCUUUUAAGUGGUGCACAUGUCUGUGCAUGGGUGAGGGCAUGUGCCUGAGGAGGACAUUGGACUGCUGGACACGGUGCUAGGAACUGCACGUAGGUCCUCUGCGAGAGCAGUGUGUCUUCCUAACUGCUGAGCCACGUCUCUGGCCCUGGCAGCAGUUCUCUGCAGUCUCUUCUGAGACCUGUUUUUUUUUUUCCCCUGAACCCUGGUGUUCUUGCGGUUCUUGUUCUGCAUUCUGUGACCCCCUGUUUGCUCUCCAGUCUAACUGCCCUCCCGCCCCUGCCACCUUUCCGCUCUCCUGUCUAUAUCACAGCCUCUUCAGCUCUAAGCCAACACACCACAGGACACACCUUUAACAUUUGAGAGACAGAGGCACGAGGUCCAGGGUCCAGGCCAGCCUGGCCUACAGAGUGAGUUGCCAGAGUUACACAGAACCCUGAUUUGAAAAACCAACCCAACCAAACAAACCCAUAACAAUGUGCAGUCUGUAAUCUUAGGGAGCAGUGAAGGGUUUCUGAAGGCUCAGUGACCAAAAUUAAUUCAGAAUUAAACAUGUACUGGAGCCAGGGUGUUCUUAGCAACAUGUAUUGAUGUUGCACGGUGUGAGGUCAUAUAGCCUGGACUCUGAACACACAGUGCAUGCACUUGGUACUGCGUGUCCCCGCACAGCCCACAGACACUUCGAGAAGCACCUUGGCACAGCUUUGAGACUACUGCGUAGUAGGGACUGCAAUGUUCUACUGCAUGCACAGUCUAAAUAC